AUGUCGAAUGUUUCGAACUCAUGGUCAAACAUGAUAUUGAACAUUUACCACCAGAAUUACCAUGAAGCGCGGGUAUAAUUGAUCGACCAUGUACUUCUUAUUUUCCAGCAGAAAUGGUGGCAAAUAUAUUUGAAUUAUUAAACGCAAAAAGCUUAAAAAAGCUUAGUUAAUGCAAGCAUGGUUUGCCGUUCAUGGAAGGACUUGGCUGAAGAGAGUUGACUCAGAGAACGUCGUUGAAAUGAUGGAACACAUUAAAGAGCAAGUAUGUCAGUUUCUUCAAGAAUUUCCCGUAACAGUCUUGGACUAACAGAAGAGGUUGAAAACGACGGCAGUGUUAUGUUUUUCUCUACUGAUUUUCCUAAGGUUAAGGAUGUUAGCAUCACCAAGAUUUCGAUCAACGCAGACGAUUUAUAAACAAAGAAACAACAUUGGUAUCAAAAAUUUCAUCAAGAUAAAAAGUUUGUAUUUGUAAUGACAAGUCACAGAGGAGGCAAGUGUUUUUAUAACUUUAGAGAGGUCAGUGGAUCCAUUACAAUGUCAUUGCCAACCGUGGGAACUUGGUUGUUUUUAUGAGUUAUAUUUAGCCAUUUAUUUCAACCUUACAUGUUUCAACCUUUUUGCUCGAUUUAGAAUAAAAUGUAUACCUUAUACUUUUUUUGUUUCUAAAUUGUUCUCUUGAAACUUUUAUUGUAACUCAGUAAGCAUGUUUGAUAUUUUUACAGAUUAAAAUUUUUUUUCAGCAA